GAGCACGUAGGUGGGUUUGUAAGUCAGAUGUGAAAGCCUUCUGUUCAACGGAAGAAUUGCAUCUGAAACUACAAACCUUGAGUAUAGGAGGGGAGAAUGGAACUUCUGGUGGAGCGGUGAAAUGCGUAGAUAUCAGAAGGAACGCUGGCGGCGAAAGCGAUUCUCUGGCCUAUUACUGACACUCAGUGUGCGAAAGCUAGGGGAGCAAACGGGAUUAGAUACCCCGGUAGUCCUAGCCGUAAACGAUGGGCACUAAGUAGAGGGG
rnacentral:rRNA from 1 species